rnacentral:rRNA from 1 species
UACAGAGGGUGCGAGCGUUGUUCGGAAUUAUUGGGCGUAAAGGGCGCGUAGGCGGCGCCACAAGCCACUUGUGAAAACUCUGGGCUCAACCCAGAGCCUGCAGGCGAAACUGUGGUGCUGGAGUAUGGGAGAGGUGCGUGGAAUUCCCGGUGUAGCGGUGAAAUGCGUAGAUAUCGGGGAGGAACACCUGUGGCGAAAGCGGCGCACUGGACCAUAACUGACGCUGGAGGCGCGAAAGCUAGGGGGAGCAAACAGG